rnacentral:rRNA from 1 species
UGAACGCUGGCGGCGUGCCUAAUACAUGCAAGUCGAGCGAACAGACGCGGAGCUUGCUCCUCUGACGUUAGCGGCGGACGGGUGAGUAACACGUGGAUAACCUACCUAUAAGACUGGGAUAACUUCGGGAAACCGGAGCUAAUACCGGAUAAUAUAUUGAACCGCAUGGUUCAAUAGUGAAAGACGGUUUUGCUGUCACUUAUAGAUUGAUCCGCGCCGCAUUAGCUAGUUGGUAAGGUAACGGCUUACCAAGGCAACGAUGCGUAGCCGACCUGAGAGGGUGAUCGGCCACACUGGAACUGAGACACGGUCCAGACUCCUACGGGAGGCAGCAGUAGGGAAUCUUCCGCAAUGGGCGAAAGCUUGACGGAGCAACGCCGCGUGAGUGAUGAAGGUCUUCGGAUCGUAAAACUCUGUUAUUAGGGAAGAACAAAUGUGUAAGUAACUAUGCACGUCUUGACGGUACCUAAUCAGAAAGCCACGGCUAACUACGUG